UACGGGGGGAGCAAGCGUUGUUCGGAUUUACUGGGCGUAAAGGGCGCGUAGGCGGCCACCGCAAGUCGAUUGUGAAAUCUCCGGGCUUAACCCGGAAAGGUCAACCGAUACUGCGGGGCUAGAGUGCAGAAGGGGCAACUGGAAUUCUCGGUGUAGCGGUGGAAUGCGCAGAUAUCAGGAGGAACACCGGUGGCGAAGGCGGGUCUCUGGGCAGUAACUGACGCUGAGGAGCGAAAGCGUGGGGAGCGAACAGG
rnacentral:rRNA from 1 species